GUCCAGACUCCUACGGGAGGCAGCAGUGGGGAAUUUUGGACAAUGGGCGCAAGCCUGAUCCAGCUAUUCCGCGUGUGGGAAGACGGCCUUCGGGUUGUAAACCACUUUUGUAGAGAACGAAAAGUCUAUUGAUAAUACCGAUAGAUGAUGACGGUACUCUAAGAAUAAGCACCGGCUAACUACGUGCCAGCAGCCGCGGUAAUACGUAGGGUGCGAGCGUUAUCCGGAUUUAUUGGGUUUAAAGGGUGCGCAGGCGGAGGUGCAAGUCAGCGGUCAAAUUGCGGGGCUCAACCCCGUACUGCCGUUGAAACUGCAUCCCUUGAGUGCGCGAGAAGUAUGCGGAAUGCGUGGUGUAGCGGUGAAAUGCAUAGAUAUCACGCAGAACUCCGAUUGCGAAGGCAGCAUACCGGCGCGCAACUGACGCUCAUGCACGAAAGCGUGGGUAUCGAACAGGAUUAGAUACCCGAGUA
rnacentral:rRNA from 1 species